UGAAAAAAAACUCCAUAUACAACGGUCAAUAGGUGUGUGAUCUUACAUUUGAGAAUGGCGAUUGGGAGUAAAGAUUUUCUGGAUUUGAUACAAACCUGGCGGAGUGAAUGUGUAGUGGAAGAUUGUCCUGACUACAAGCUUAGUGUUAAACUUCAGUUGCUGAAAAAAAACUCCAUAUACAACGGUCAAUAGGUGUGUGAUAUUAUGAUGAUUGACCGCACUGAAUAUUGAAGAAGUAAACCUAAAAUCAUACGGGGAGUCGUUGCUAGGGUUUCAAUGUAAGAUCAGUGUGUAAUACGUGGGCUAGCCGCACAGCGAAGUGCGAACCCUGCGGCAGACAAAAGUCAGGUGUUUAAGCGAAUAAUGGUAUAGAAGCUGGCCCAUUAUCCUCUCGAGUUUUGAAUUCACUUAUCUCAGGGGUUUCUCGAUUAUUAAAAAGACCAUGUAGAGAGUCUGAAAAGGCCUAAAAUCUCUCAAAAUCAAUGUGGACUAAGCACAGAUAAUACCAACCAUUUUGAUUAAGACUUGUUUUAUUUACACUUACAAUAGGUCUGGUGUUUGCAUAAGUCUCUUUAUCCAAAAUAAGGACCUUUUAAUUGUAAAUAGGCUUGUAUAUUUGUGUAAGCAUAAGUGUGAGAUUUAGAGAACCUCUUACUUAGAGAAAAUUCAUGUUUUCUUAAAAAACAAAUUGUUUGGUAUAGGAAUAAAAUGGAUCUAGAUAGAAUAUAAC
rnacentral:lncRNA from 1 species